AUGAUCUUGAUCUCGCACCAGAGCUGGCUGCAAUAGCGGGUCAUGAUAUCUCAUCUGAAAACCGUUUCUAUGGAAAUUGCUGGUGUGCAAAAUGACUUAUGAAGAAUCUGAGCAGAAAACCCGAACUUAAAUCAAUAUCCAGCUCAGACUUGGGUUCUUGAUGUGGCUUGUUGGACUCCAGUUUCUUCUUUAAUUCAUCACAUUCCUAUCUUUCACACGGUUAUUAAUUUCGAGACACUGAAAGACUUGGAAUGGCCACGUGCUCUCUAGCUUACGCAAAGUGGGCAAAAGGUUAUAAUGGGGCUACUAAUGAUUGGAAUGACUACUCACGCUACGCGGAUCCUGAUGGAGUCAAUAUGUCUCAUUAAGAUUUAUUUUGGUAUAAUUAGAUUUGUAAUUUGUAAUUUAUUAUAUUACCAUAUGGCAGUAGUUUUCUACAGGGGUUUAUGGUGACAUAUGUAUGAUUAUGGCUAUGCACUUUAUGGUCCUUAUUCACCUAUUCCAACAAUUUGUCGCGAUGGUUAUGAAUCAUGAUGGUCACUUUUUUAACGCUCAGCAAUACCAAUAUCCGAGUCCCUAUUUUUAAACCAAUGAGUUAAAAAAAAUCCCAAUACUCGUUUAUCCAAACGCAGUAUUCACUAUCUACAACAUCCUACGUGGC
rnacentral:lncRNA from 1 species